ensembl:lncRNA
CUGAUAUUCUAUGUAUAGUUUGCUGAACUCAGCACAGUGUCAUCCAUUUACAGGUUUCCUCAGUUACUUUCUAAACAUAUUCCAAUGAGGUGGGUGAAAAAAAGAGUCAAAACACAUGUCAAUUACAAAAUGCUAGGGAACUGAUUUGAUAGGCUGAUCUUCCCUUGUAUAAUUCAUUUAGUGGAUGCAUUUUAGACUUGAUUCAUUCUCCCAUAUUAAGGUUCUUUAUUCCUGAUCCUGAAGAGUUACAAUACAGGAUUGCUAUUUAGUAAUAGAAACCAGUGGCUGAUUCUUCUCUAAAGAUAACUGCUUUGUGGUAUUGAAAGGCUCCAGCCUCUGCUUGCUGCUCUUGUAAUGACUCUCCCAACCAUUAGCUGGCACUAGGGGUUACACAGACUAGUCGAGUAGUCGAGUGAUCGAUUACUUUUACCACUAGUCGGCGCUGUCGGAAACAAUCGACUACUCGAGCGUGCAUUAACCAUAAUGCAUGCACAGUUUGCCUAGAACGCAAAUUGUAGGAUUACAAUAUUGCGUGUAGCUGAUACUUUCUAUCACUUUCUCUAUGUUACAUGUAAAAUUAAAAUAUCUAAUUUAAUAAUUAGGGGUGUGCCUGAAGCCGAAUGGCACGGAUAAUGGCUUCAAAAACGGAUAACGGAUAAGGAAUAAUUCUGCCUGAAUAUUCGGCUGAAGCUGGCACAGUCUGGUGUUUGCUAGAUAAGAGGUGUUUCACUGUUUUCCCUGCUGAGGAUCUGUUGGGAGCAAGUGGUGUAAUGCUAAAUUUCUCCAAAUCUGUUUCCAUGAAGAAACAAACUCAUCUACAUCAUGGCCUGAGGGUUCAGGCUCUAAGCAGACAGGAAAUCAAAGAGAUGAUGGUCAUUUUGAGGGAUUUGAUUUUCAUUUCCUUCAGUCUUUGUAUCAUGACUUAAGUCUAUUUUGACUUUCUGACCUCAGCAGGAACUUGAAUGACCCCUUCAGUAUGUUGUCUUGUAUUACAGUUCCUCCAAGAGAUCUUUUCAAGUCAUAAUGCAAGCCACAAUACUUUAAGUUAAUGAAUAUAUACAACUGUCUUUUAACCAAACCAACACAAUUAAAAUUCUUGAAUAAAAAAGUAUUGAUAGUUGAAAGUUGAAUGAAA